rnacentral:misc_RNA from 1 species
AGGCAUUUGACCCUUCUUCACCAUAACCACAAAAAAUUGAAUCUUUAAAAAUGAGGUUGGAAAUGGACUUCGCCACUUUCCUCCUCUUCUUGAUCUCAGUCCUCAUCAUCAUCUGCUUCUUCUUCAUCUUUUCUACUUCUCCUUCUGCAUCCAAAACUCCAUGUCCAGAAUCAUACCCUAUAAUCGGGAACCUCCCAGGUUUCCUCCGCAACCGCCACCGCUUCCACGACUGGGUCACAGACAUGCUCUCCCAGACCCCAUCAUCAACCGUUCAAGUUAACUCUUUCUUCUCCCAUGGAAUCUGUACUGCAAAUCCUAUCAACGUAGAGCACCUCCUUGUCACCAACUUCUCCAACUACGUCAAGGGCUCUCGCUUUCUCAACGUCCUCUAUGAACUGCUUGGCCAUGGGAUCUUCAACGUUGAUGGUCAUCUCUGGACGUUGCAACGCAAGAUUGCUAGCCAUGAAUUCAACACCAAAUCUCUCAAACACUUUAUAUCAGAUAUAGUCAAAUCUGAAAUGGCCAACACCCUCUUGCCUAAUCUUUCCAAGGCUUGUGAUGAGAAUUCAGUCUUUGAUCUUGAGCAAGUGUUAGGAAAGUUCACUUUCAGUACCAUUUGCAAAGUUGCAUUUGGAAUAGACCUUCAAACCAUGCCAUAUUUGCCUUUUGCUAAAGCUUUUGAUGAUGCUGUAGAGAACUGCUUUUCAAGAUUCUUGUCUCCCUUUCCACCAAUUUGGAAGCUCAAAAGAUUGUUCAAUAUUGGAUCAGAGAAGCGAUUCAAAGAAGACAUUAAAACGAUCAAUGAGUUUGCUAUGGAGAUCAUGAAGUCUAAGCAACAAGAAGAGAAUAGCAGUGAAAGGGUAGCCAAGAAUCAAGAUUUGUUAUCAAGAUUUAUGCUCCUGAGCUCCAAUCUGGAAUUUCAGGAUCAAGAACACAAGACCAAGUUCUUGAGAGACAUAAUCAUAAGCUUUGUACUCGCUGGCAAGGACACAACGUCAACGGCCUUGACAUGGUUUUUCUGGUUAGUUGCCGGCAACCCUCGUUGCGCACACUUGAUUUAUCAAGAAUUAUCCGAAGUGGCAUCUCCGCCGGAUGCGGAGGCGGUACCAGAAGCGAGGACUUUUAGCUAUGAUGAGUUGAAGAAGCUUCAUUAUUUGCAUGCAGCUCUAUCAGAGUCGAUGCGGUUGUUUCCACCCGUGGCCAUCAAUUCAAGAUUAACGAUAGAUAAUGAUGUUUUGCCUGAUGGGACCCGUGUGGGGAAAGGGGGGUUCGCUGACUAUUCUGCUUAUGCAAUGGGUAGGAUGGAGAGAGUGUGGGGCCAGGAUUGUAGAGCGUUCAAGCCCGAGAGGUGGUUGGAUAUAGAUAGAAAAUAUCAGCCGUGCGAUCAAUUUCGAUUCCCUGUGUUUCAUUGUGGGCCAAGGACAUGUUUGGGGAAGGACUUGGCUUCCAUACAGAUGAAGGCAAUAGCUGCGGCUGUGAUGUACGAGUUCGAAAUCGUGCCUGUUGAUGGGGGUGCUAGCGCAGAGAAGAUGAUGAAUCCACCUUAUAUUACAACGUUGCUUCUGAAAAUGAAAGGGGGCUUCCCUAUUCGGCUAAAGAGAAGAGACAGAGACGGCUAUAUAUAAUCAAUAAAUUUUUUUU